ensembl:lncRNA
CUUUAUUAAUCACACAAGAAGCAUUCUACUGGCAAGAUUUCAAUUGUAUUAAUAGGUCAGGACAUGUCUAAAUUUCCAGACUAAAAUCACAAAAUAUUUUAAAAAGGAAAUAUUUUCACCAUGUGUUAUGAAGAAAAAAAGACCUAAGUUGAGGUCUCUUCGCUCACUGUCAUUGUUACUGUGGAAUUAAUCUAACAGAAUCUAGAUAUAUAAAAUAUAGACUUCUGUGUAGGAAUUGGCAAUCUCCCUGGGCUCCCUGCGUGGUCAUUGGGAACUCACUGAAUUUUUUGGGAAUUUAAGAUGCAGUUAAUCUCAUCAUAAAUACAUCUACAAACAUGACUUUAAAGUGUUUGUUUCUUUCCACAAACUGAAGAAAACACUUUGGCAGGUUCACUCGUUUGCAGAUUGCAAAGAUGUAAUGUUGGCUUAGGUGGAACCUACCCUACAUUUUAUAGCAAAGAAGCCAUAGAAGCACUUGAACAUCUUGGCUGAAUAGGAGAGUAUGUAUGUCGCUGUCUGCUUUCUGUGUUGACCAGUUCUGAAGACAGAGGAGACCACCACAAAUCUAUGAAAAUCCUGAAGAAACCCCUGGGAAUGAAAUCAUGAACAAAUUCUUUUCUCAGGGCGCAAACAUUGGUGUCCAUGGGAGAUGAGAGAUUUCUCCAAGCUUGCACAGCAGGUAACAAAAGCUGAGGAAAUACUUUGAAAAAUUGCUCUAUCUUAUUAUGAUCCUAAACUACCCUUGACUAGACAGUAAAGUAGUAGCUGUUUUACAGAGGAGUGUAACUUGCUUCACAGUUCACCACAGCUUUGGAAGAUUUCUACACCAACAUCAGUCUUUACAGCUGCAGAACUGGAAAAAAAACAUCUCAAAAUGAAGUGCCUAUAGAGGAGAUUUAGGACUGAAUUAAUAGAUUAAAGAGCCCCAGAUUUCUACAGCUAGACAAGACAAAUCCAAGUGUUCAAACAGUACUCAAAUAUGAAAUUCAGGAAACAUUAAGUGUUGUUUAUCUGUGCCUUCCUAUCUGAGAAAUACA